AACGAACGCUGGCGGCAUGCCUAACACAUGCAAGUCGAACGAGACCUUCGGGUCUAGUGGCGCAUGGGUGCGUAACGCGGGGGAACCUGCCCUUAGGUUCGGAAUAACUCCUCGAAAGGGGUGCUAAUACCGGAUAAUGUCCUCGGAUCAAAGAUUUAUCGUCUUUGGAUGGGCCCGCGUUGUAUUAGCUAGUUGGUAGGGUAAAAGCCUACCAAGGCGACGAUCCAUAGCUGGUCUGAGAGGAUGAUCAGCCACACUGGGACUGGGACACGGCCGAGACUCCUACGGGAGGCAGCAGUGGGGAAUAUUGGACAAUGGGCGGAGGCCUGAUCCAGCAAUGCCGCGUGAGUGAUGAAGGCCUUAGGGUUGUAAAGCUCUUUUACCCGGGAUGGUAAUGACAGUACCGGAAGAAUAAGCUCCGGCUAACUCCGUG
rnacentral:rRNA from 1 species